UGCAGCUCGCAGUCACAUGACCCCCAGUCCAGCUCCGCCCCCUCAUAUCCUCUAUAACCCCACCCAACACCUGAUCACCUACAGCGGCUUCUGCCCGCCCGGACAAACUCUACCCGCCUACCCAAACUACCCGCUGCCCAUGCAGCAUGUGAGUGGUUUUGCGGCUCCAGCUUCUGAGAGCUCCUCCACAUCUCCUCCUGAGGAUCCUCCAUCCGCUGCUCAGAGCUCCUUGAACCCGGCGCCGGCAGCUCAGACUCCAGACUGCAGACCAGAACACAGCGCCGCAUACAUGCUGACUCCAAACGCCCCCUCGCUCUACGCUCACUCACUAGGGCCCUUCGAGAAACCCCCACCCUACGCCUGCUGAACACUCCUGACCUCUGACCUCCAGGGGUCGUCCGGCCUGCUGUCGCCGCUGAUGACCGUAGCAAUGUGACCAAUGUCCUUCUCUGGUAGUUUCCUAAAACCUCUGGACCUCAGCUUUUACUUCCUCCUCUUGUGUCUUGGACUCAAGCGUGCUGCUGUUAUAGUUGUGUGUACUACUGAGUGCUCAACUGAGCUGUAGUGUGCUUACUGUGCUCAUGCCCUACUGAGAACACUAGGUUCUGCUGAGGGGAAUACAGUCAGGGUUGUAGACAGGUGUUGUGUGUUAAGAGUUGAUCAAAUUCAGGGACAGUUUUAUGGUAUGGGCUGGUUAAAAGCGAUGUGUUUACUGGUAUUGGUGGGUUGAAGAUUGGUUAAGGCAUGGGUUGGUUAAGUGUUGGAUAAAGUUUGGGACAGGAUUAAUAGUAAGGAUAGGUUAAGGGUCGAGGUUAGGUAAAAGGCUUAGUUGUAUGGGUAGCGUAGGGCUGGUUAAGGAACAGUAUAGAAGUAUGGGUGAUUUAGGAACCAGGUUAGAGGUAUGGGUAGGUUAGGGGCCAGGUUAGAAGUAUGGGUAGGUUAGGGGCCAGGUUAGAGGUAUGGGUAGGUUAGGGGCCAGGUUAGAGGUAUGGGUAGGUUAGGGGCCAGGUUACAGGUAUGGGUAGGUUAGGGACCAGGUUAGAGGUAUGGGUAGGUUAGGGGCCAGGUUAGAGGUAUGGGUAGGUUAGGGGCCAGGUUAGAGGUAUGGGUAGGUUAGGGGCCAGGUUAGAAGUAUGGGUAGGCUAGGGGCCAGGUUAGAGGUAUGGGUAGGCUAGGGGCCAGGUUAGAGGUAUGGGUAGGCUAGGGGCCAGGUUAGAGGUAUGGGUAGGUUAGGGGCCAGGUUAGAAGUAUGGGUAGGCUAGGGGCCAGGUUAGAGGUAUGGGUAGGCUAGGGGCCAGGUUAGAGGUAUGGGUAGGCUAGGGGCCAGGUUAGAGGUAUGGGUAGGUUAGGGGCCAGGUUAGAGGUAUGGGUAGGUUAGGGGCCAGGUUAGAGGUAUGGGUAGGCUAGGGGCCAGGUUGGAGGUAUGGGUAGGCUAGGGGCCAGGUUACAGGUAUGGGUAGGUUAGGGACCAGGUUAGAGGUAUGGGUAGGUUAGGGGCCAGGUUAGAGGUAUGGGUAGGUUAGGGGCCAGGUUAGAGGUAUGGGUAGGUUAGGGACCAGGUUAGAGGUAUGGGUAGGUUAGGGGCCAGGUUAGAGGUAUGGGUAGGUUAGGGGCCAGGUUAGAGGUAUGGGUAGGUUAGGGGCCAGGUUACAGGUAUGGGUAGGCUAGGGACCAGGUUACAGGUAUGGGUAGGCUAGGGACCAGGUUAGAGGUUUAGGUAGGUAAAGGUUAGAUUGAGGAUUGUCUAAGGUAAGGAAAAAGGCUAGUGGUCAGGUUAAGGGUUACAGGUUUAGAGAUAUAUGGGCGGGUUUAAGGGCUGAGUAAGGUUAGGGAUAGGCCAGUUGUAUGGACAGGUUUAUGGAUGAGUUUUGUUGUUUGUCUAGAGUAAGGUUAGGGCCAGGUUAGCUGGUAUGGGUAUGUUCAUAGGAGGACAAAUGUAUAGAUAUAAUUAUAGAUGUUAGUAGUUUUUAAUGUAAUGACAGUAAGUUAUUUUAUAUAUAGCUUAUUGUGUGUUUAAAUGAUAGAUUAAUCAAAACCCCUGCUAGGAAGUAUGAAGUGAUCCGUAUCAGAAUGAAACAAACAAAAUCCACUGGGUAAUUUAGUCACAUCAGAUCAAUGAUUCAUGACUAUAUCAGAUUCCUGAAUAACAUAAAUCAGCCAUGUGGAUGAAACUGCACCAUAUUAACACAUGAUGUACAGCAGAUCCAGAAGCCAGAUUCACUAAACAUCAACUAUUCAACUGCCAGUUUCUUUUCUUACUAAAUUAUAGAUUUUGUGCUUCCAAAAAUUCCUGCAGGUCUUAUUUUUUUCCGCCAUAAGGUCUUCAAGGUUUCAGGUUUAGAAACUCUUUCCAGUGAUUCUGCUUGGAGCAAAGUGUAGGUUUUAUAAAAGUGUUAAAACAACACCAGAGAAACACAUUCAGGAAUUUUUUGUUUUUUUUUUUCAUAACAUUUUAGCGAAGAAAACUCCUGGCGUGACUGUUCUCUGCCUAGAAUUUCUAAAACUAUAAAUCAAAGCUAAAAUCCUCUAGAUUUAGAAAGCAAACCCUUUUCCCUGUGCAAAUUUGUGUUUUCAGAUUUCCGCUGUUCGUCUUUGUCUGUCUGUUCAAGGUUUAACUGCACAAAACCACCGCUCGUCUAAUAAAAUGUAUUUAUAGUUUCAUCAUGAUUUUCUCAUUCUGUUAUAUUCAAUAAAAUGCAUGUGGAAACA